rnacentral:rRNA from 1 species
UGGGGAAUAUUGCACAAUGGGCGCAAGCCUGAUGCAGCCAUGCCGCGUGUAUGAAGAAGGCCUUCGGGUUGUAAAGUACUUUCAGCGAGGAGGAAGGCGUUGUGGUUAAUAACCGCAGCGAUUGACGUUACUCGCAGAAGAAGCACCGGCUAACUCCGUGCCAGCAGCCGCGGUAAUACGGAGGGUGCAAGCGUUAAUCGGAAUUACUGGGCGUAAAGCGCACGCAGGCGGUCUGUCAAGUCGGAUGUGAAAUCCCCGGGCUCAACCUGGGAACUGCAUCCGAAACUGGCAGGCUAGAGUCUUGUAGAGGGGGGUAGAAUUCCAGGUGUAGCGGUGAAACGCGUAGAGAUCUGGAGGAAUACCGGUGGCGAAGGCGGCCCCCUGGACAAAGACUGACGCUCAGGUGCGAAAGCGUGGGGAGCAAACA